rnacentral:rRNA from 1 species
GACGAACGCUGGCGGCGUGCUUAACACAUGCAAGUCGAACGGAAAGGCCCUGCUUUUGUGGGGUGCUCGAGUGGCGAACGGGUGAGUAACACGUGAGUAACCUGUCCCUGACUUUGGGAUAACUUCAGGAAACUGGGGCUAAUACCGGCUAGGAGCUCCUGCUGCAUGGUGGGGGUUGGAAAGUUUCGGCGGUUGGUGAUGGACUCGCGGCUUAUCAGCUUGUUGGAUGGGUAGUGGCUUACCAAGGCUUUGACGGGUAGCCGGCCUGAGAGGGUGACCGGCCACGUUGGGACUGAAAUGCGGCACAGACUCCUACGGGAGGCAGAGGUGGAGAAGAUUGCACAAUGGGCGGAAGCAUGAUGCAGCAAAGCCGCGUGCGGGAUGACGGCAUUCGGGUUGUAAUCCGCUUUCGCCUGUGACGAAGCGUGAGUGACGGUAAUGGGUAAAGAAGCACCGGCUAACUACGUG